UGUUGUGAAGCCAAAUAAGAAUCACUUGACUACUCUCAGAGUCACUUUGGAUAAAUAUUUUACCGAAGGAAAAGUAACCCCUGAACGACUGGAUUAUUGAACCUUUUGUAGCUGAGGCAGUGACCUUGUCUCAGCUCUCAGAUGACACUCAGGAGAAUAUGAUGGAACUUCAGAGUGAUAAGAUACUGGACAUUCAAUUUAAAAAACAAGUCUUUGGGGGAUUUUAGGCUGAAAGUUGGCUCAGGAUAUUCAGCUUUGUCAAAGUGUGUGAUCAAAGCUCUUUUACUGUUUGGUUCGUCUUAUUUGUGAGAGAUCGGCUUCUCUUCGCUGGCUGUGUUAAAGACAAAGUAUCAUUCGAGAUUGUUUACCCAGAUGUGCUGAGGAACCAAAGAUGUGAAAGGCAAGCGUGAGAUUAUUCAUCAUGACAGAAUCUAUAUUUCUCUACCUGAGUGCUAUUUCAACACAACAUUCCUGAGCUCACCCAUUCUUUUUAUGUCUGAGAGGAAAGUGGGAGAGCAGGAAACCAGUCAAAUCAUCUGUCCAGAGUUGGUGAAUUUCAGGCAAGUAAUUUUUCCCUUCUCUAAGAAUACUUAAUUGACUGAAUUCUUACCCUUGAACAGAACAAAGCUUGAGGGAAACUUUUCCCAAACAAUGCAUUCCCCAAAUAGUAGAGAAACAAAGAGGCAGUUUCAUGAAGCCAGAAGAGUUGUGAAGGCUUCCUAAAUCUCUCCUAGUUUUAUAAUGUAGUCCUGAGUAGAUUCUGUUCAUCACGAACUUUGUAGCACCAAUGUUUCCUUCAUCAAGGCAACAUCCUGCAUCAGCGCCUUGCCCCAAGCCAAAGAGCC